rnacentral:rRNA from 1 species
GGCGUCCGAGUUGUAAUUUGUAGAGGAUGCUAUUGGGUUGCCACCGGUCUAAGUUCCUUGGAACAGGACGUCACAGAGGGUGAGAAUCCCGUAUGUGACCGGCCAGGCGCCUUCUGUAUAGCUCCUUCGACGAGUCGGGUUGUUUGGGAAUGCAGCCCUAAAUGGGAGGUAAAUUUCUUCUAAAGCUAAAUACCGGCCAGAGACCGAUAGCGCACAAGUAGAGUGAUCGAAAGAUGAAAAGCACUUUGGAAAGAGAGUUAAAAAGCACGUGAAAUUGUUGAAAGGGAAGCGCUUGCAAUCAGCCUCGACGGCGGCUGUUCGGCCUCUCUUCUGAGUGGUUUAUUCAGUCGCCGCCGGGCCAGCAUCAGUUUUGGCGGUCGGAUAAAGGCGCGGGGAAUGUAGCUCCUCCGGGAGUGUUAUAGCCCCGCGUGCAAUACGGCCCGCCGGGACUGAGGUCCGCGCUUCGGCUAGGAUGCUGGCGAAAUGGUUGUAAGCGGCCCGUCUUGAAACACGGACCAAGGAGUCUAACAUCUACGCGAGUGUUUGGGUGUCAAACCCGUGCGCGCAAUGAAAGUGAACGGAGGUGGGAACCGCAAGGUGCACCAUCGACCGAUCCUGAUGUCUUCGGAUGGAUUUGAGUAAGAGCGUAGCUGUUGGGACCCGAAAGAUGGUGAACUAUGCCUGAAUAGGGUGAAGCCAGAGGAAACUCUGGUGGAGGCUCGCAGCGGUUCUGACG